rnacentral:rRNA from 1 species
AAUAGAUACCCAGGUAGUCCACGCUGUAAACGAUGUCAACUAGCUGUUGGUUAUAUGAAAAUAAUUAGUGGCGCAGCAAACGCGAUAAGUUGACCGCCUGGGGAGUACGGUCGCAAGAUUAAAAACUCAAAGGAAUUGACGGGGGCCCGCACAAGCGGUGGAGCAUGUGGUUUAAUUCGAUGCAACGCGAAGAACCUUACCUACCCUUGACAUACAGUGAAUAAAGCAGAGAUGCAUUAGUGCCUUCGGGAACACUGAUACAGGUGCUGCAUGGCUGUCGUCAGCUCGUGUCGUGAGAUGUUGGGUUAAGUCCCGUAACGAGCGCAACCCUUAUCCUUAGUUGCCAUCGCGUAGAGGCGGGAACUCUAAGGAGACUGCCGGUGACAAACCGGAGGAAGGCGGGGAUGACGUCAAGUCAUCAUGGCCCUUACGGGUAGGGCUACACACGUGCUACAAUGGCCGAUACAGAGGGCAGCGAAGGGGCGACCUGGAGCAAAUCUUAGAAAGUCGGUCGUAGUCCGGA